rnacentral:rRNA from 1 species
AGUGAACGCUGGCGGUAGGCCUAACACAUGCAAGUCGAACGGCAGCACAGUAAGAGCUUGCUCUUACGGGUGGCGAGUGGCGGACGGGUGAGGAAUACAUCGGAAUCUACUUUUUCGUGGGGGUUAACGUAGGGAAACUUACGCUAAUACCGCAUACGACCUGCGGGUGAAAGCAGGGGAUCUUCGGACCUUGCGCGAUUGAAUGAGCCGAUGUCGGAUUAGCUAGUUGGCGGGGUAAAGGCCCACCAAGGCGACGAUCCGUAGCUGGUCUGAGAGGAUGAUCAGCCACACUGGAACUGAGACACGGUCCAGACUCCUACGGGAGGCAGCAGUGGGGAAUAUUGGACAAUGGGCGCAAGCCUGAUCCAGCCAUACCGCGUGGGUGAAGAAGGCCUUCGGGUUGUAAAGCCCUUUUGUUGGGAAAGAAAAGCAGCAGGUUAAUACCCCGCUGUUCUGACGGUACCCAAAGAAUAAGCACCGGCUAACUUCGUG